CGGGGGAAUGCAGGAGCCUGGGCUGUGUCUCCCAGUGCCCUGGGAUCUGGGGCUCGUGCUGCUGGAAUCGCGCUCCCGGGGCCGUGGCUCCCG
rfam:Canis lupus familiaris chromosome 15, whole genome shotgun sequence.